UUUAUGGAGAGUUUGAUCCUGGCUCAGGAUGAACGCUGGCGGCGUGCCUAAUACAUGCAAGUCGAGCGAACAGACAAGGAGCUUGCUCCUUUGACGUUAGCGGCGGACGGGUGAGUAACACGUGGGUAACCUACCUAUAAGACUGGGAUAACUUCGGGAAACCGGAGCUAAUACCGGAUAAUAUUUCGAACCGCAUGGUUCGAUAGUGAAAGAUGG
rnacentral:rRNA from 1 species